rnacentral:rRNA from 1 species
AUACGGAGGGUGCGAGCGUUAAUCGGAAUUACUGGGCGUAAAGCGUGCGUAGGCGGUUUGCUAAGUCAGAUGAGAAAGCCCCGGGCUUAACCUGGGAACUGCAUUUGAUACUGGCAGACUAGAGUAUGAUAGAGGGGGGUAGAAUUCCUGGUGUAGCGGUGAAAUGCGUAGAUAUCAGGAGGAAUACCAGUGGCGAAGGCGGCCCCCUGGAUCAAUACUGACGCUGAGGUACGAAAGCGUGGGGAGCGAACAGGAUUAGAAACCCCUAGUAGUCC